GACGAACGCUGGCGGCGUGCCUAAUACAUGCAAGUUGAGCGCUGAAGGUUGGUACUUGUACCAACUGGAUGAGCAGCGAACGGGUGAGUAACGCGUGGGGAAUCUGCCUUUGAGCGGGGGACAACAUUUGGAAACGAAUGCUAAUACCGCAUAAAAACUUUAAACACAAGUUUUAAGUUUGAAAGAUGCAAUUGCAUCACUCAAAGAUGAUCCCGCGUUGUAUUAGCUAGUUGGUGAGGUAAAGGCUCACCAAGGCGAUGAUACAUAGCCGACCUGAGAGGGUGAUCGGCCACAUUGGGACUGAGACACGGCCCAAACUCCUACGGGGGGCAGCAGUAGGGAAUCUUCGGCAAAGGCCGAAAGUCUGACCGAGCAACGCCGCGUGAGUGCAGAAGGUUUUCGGAUCGUAAAACUCUGUUGGUAGAGAAGAACGUUGGUGAGAGUGGAAAGCUCAUCAAGUGACGGUAACUACCCAGAAAGGGACGGCUAACUACGUG
rnacentral:rRNA from 1 species